AGCAGCCGCGGUAAUUCCAGCUCCAAUAGCGUAUAUUAAAGUUGUUGCAGUUAAAAAGCUCGUAGUUGAAUUUCGGGGUUAGUAGUUUGGUCGUGCCAAUGGUAUGUACUGGGCUCACUGAUUCCUCCUUCCUGAUGAAUUGUAAUGCCAUUAAUUUGGUGUUGCAGGGAAACAGGACUGUUACUUUGAAAAAUUAGAGUGUUUAAAGCAAGCUAACGCUUGAAUACAUUAGCAUGGAAUAAUGAAAUAGGACGUUCGAACCUAUUUUGUUGGUUUCUAGGAUUGACGUAAUGAUUAAUAGGGAUAGUUGGGGGCAUUAGUAUUCAAUUGUCAGAGGUGAAAUUCUUGGAUUUAUUGAAGACUAACUACUGCGAAAGCAUUUGCCAAGGAUGUUUUCAUUAAUCAAGAACGAAAGUUAGGGGAUCGAAGACGAUCAGAUACCGUCGUAGUCUUAACCAUAAACUAUGCCGACUAGGGAUCGGAUGAUGUUAAUUUUUAAUGACUCAUUCGGCGCCUUAAC
rnacentral:rRNA from 1 species